rnacentral:tRNA from 1 species
GGUUUGUGGCUCAGUGGUACAGCACUUGUCUGGUAAGCAUGAGGCACUGAGUUUGAUCCUCAGCACCA